AAUGAACGCUGGCGGCGUGUCUUAAGCAUGCAAGUCGUGCGGCAAGGGUAGCAAUACCCCUAGAGCGGCGGACUGGUGAGUAACGCGUGGGUGAUCUGCCUCCGGGAUGGGGAUAGCCACUAGAAAUAGUGGGUAAUACCGAAUACGUUCACCGAACUGUGGUUUGGUGAGGAAAGGCGCUUCGGCGCCACCCGGAGAUGAGCCCGCGUCCCAUUAGCUAGUUGGUGAGGUAAAAGCCCACCAAGGCGAUGAUGGGUAGGCGGCCUGAGAGGGUGUACGCCCACACUGGGACUGAGAUACGGCCCAGACUCCUACGGGAGGCAGCAGCUAAGAAUAUUCCGCAAUGGACGAAAGUCUGACGGAGCGACGCCGCGUGGAUGAAGAAGGCCG
rnacentral:rRNA from 1 species